UAUGCUCAGAGCUACCCAAGAAAGAAGACGCGACUGUCUGACUUGGAUGAAAAGGCUUGCCAAGGGGCCUUGAAGAGGCCACUACAGAGAGAACCUAAAAGUCACCGUCAUGAAAGGUAGCCGCAGCUCAGAAGUCAGUGCUUCAGAGAGCGAGUGAGCGACACGCCCUUCGGUAGGCUUUCUGUGGCUUUGUGCUUAUCCCCAGGUGUAUCCGGAUAAACUGUGGAGAGCCACAACAAGGAGAGAACCUGGCUGACCUUGGGAGCCUUGGAGGGCAGAAGAUGCGUGUGGAGGUACGAUAAUGAGACUCGCCCUAUUGUCAGAGUCCUCUCAUCAACAGCAGGCGGCAUGUGCUCCUGGGGCUGAUGGCUAAGGAUCAGGUAGUAGCAGAGCAAAGGUGGGGAUAUUGUUGUAAACUUGUAGGACUUUUUUUCCCUUCAUCUACAGUCGUACAGUGAGCUUGAAACUUUGUGAUACAGUAGAGGCCGAGUGUUGGAUCGGAUGUACUGGAAGCAACUUGCUGCAGAGCUAGAAUUUUUACGAGGUGGUUACGGCACGGCACUACAGUAACAGCCGUAGGAGGAGCGGGCCUUUGGAGGAAAUGCUGAGAUCAGUCCCAAGCACUUGACCAAGGCACCGACGAAGGACAAUGUCAGCAGAAGAUCCAAAAGAUGUCUGUGCAGAUUGCCAGUGCUGCAGACUAUGUGAAAUUGCAUUGGAAACUGUUCUUUCAGCCCCGCUUUGGAUCUGUGCUACGCCUGAAUUUCCACGGUCGGGACCAGCCAGGUUGCUAUGGCACUCGGACCCGAACGUUGAUGGACCGUGGUCUUGUAGCCUAUUUCUAAUAGCAACAAGCACCGGAUGCUUUUGA
rnacentral:lncRNA from 1 species